rnacentral:rRNA from 1 species
GUCUGUAUGAAGGUGUAUAGAGUCUAGCCUGCCCACUGAUAAGCAUUAAAGGGCCGCGGUAUUCUGACCGUGCGAAGGUAGCAUAAUCAUUUGUCUUUUAAUUGAAGGCUUGUAUGAAUGGUUGAACGAAAAAUAGACUGUCUUCCUAGUUGAAAACUGAAUUUAACAUUUAAGUGAAAAGGCUUAAAUAUAGUAAAAAGACGAUAAGACCCUAUAAAUCUUUACGUUAUUUAUUAAAUUUAGGGUUAAACGUAAGUUAAAAGCUUCUGAAUUUUUAUUAAUGUUUUGUUGGGGCAACAUAGAUAGCGAAAUUAUCUGUUUAAAAGAUUUACAGAAAAUUGCUGAAUAAAUUGCAUGAGAUCCUUUGUAGAGAUUACAAGAUUAAGUUACUUUAGGGAUAACAGCGUUAUUUUACUUGAGAGUUCUUAUCGAAAGUAAAGUUUGCGACCUCGAUGUUGAAUUAAAAUUUCUUUGUGGUGCAGCCGCUAUAAGAGAAAGUCUGUUCGACUUUUAAAAUUUU